GAUGAAGAACGUAGCGAAAUGCGAUAAGUAAUGUGAAUUGCAGAAUUCAGUGAAUCAUCGAAUCUUUGAACGCACAUUGCGCCCGCCAGUAUUCUGGCGGGCAUGCCUGUUCGAGCGUCAUUUCAACCAUCAAGCCCCCGGGCUUGUGUUGGGGACCUGCGGCUGCCCGCAGGCCCUGAAAACCAGUGGCGGGCUCGCUGUCACACCGAGCGUAGUAGCAUAUCAUCUCGCUCUGGGCGUGCUGCGGGUUCCGGCCGUUAAAGCCUUUUUUUUUACCCAAGGUUGACCUCGGAUCAGGUAGGAAGACCCGCUGAACUUAAGCAUAUCAAUAAGCGGAGGA
rnacentral:misc_RNA from 1 species